GUGAGGAAUCUUCCACAAUGGGCGAAAGCCUGAUGGAGCAACGCCGCGUGAGUGAAGAAGUAUUUCGGUAUGUAAAACUCUAUCAGCAGGGAAGAUAAUGACAGUACCUGACUAAGAAGCCCCGGCUAACUACGUGCCAGCAGCCGCGGUAAUACGUAGGUGGCAAGCGUUGUCCGGAAUUAUUGGGCGUAAAGAGCAUGUAGGCGGGAAUCUAAGUCUGUUGUGAAAAUGCGGGGCUCAACCCCGUAUUGCGAUGGAAACUGGGUUUCUUGAGUGCAGGAGAGGAAAGGGGAAGUCCCAGGGUAGCGGUGAAAUGCGUAGAUAUUGGGAGGAACACCAGUGGCGAAGGCGCCUUUCUGGACUGUGUCUGACGCUGAGAUGCGAAAGCCAGGGUAGCGAACGGGAUUAGAAACCCUGGUAGUCC
rnacentral:rRNA from 1 species